rnacentral:rRNA from 1 species
GAUGAACGCUAGCUACAGGCUUAACACAUGCAAGUCGAGGGGUAACGAGAGGAAAGCUUGCUUUCCUUGUCGACGACCGGCGCACGGGUGAGUAACGCGUAUCCAACCUGCCCCCAACUAGGGAAUAACCUUGCUAAAGUAAGACUAAUACCCUAUAAUCUCCUCAGAUGUCAUCUGACGAGGAAUAAAGAUUUAUCGGUUGUGGAUGGGGAUGCGUCUGAUUAGCUUGUUGGCGGGGUAACGGCCCACCAAGGCAACGAUCAGUAGGGGUUCUGAGAGGAAGGUCCCCCACAUUGGAACUGAGACACGGUCCAAACUCCUACGGGAGGCAGCAGUGAGGAAUAUUGGUCAAUGGGCGGAAGCCUGAACCAGCCAAGUAGCGUGCAGGAUGACGGCCCUAUGGGUUGUAAACUGCUUUUAUACAGGAAUAAAGCUAGCCACGUGUGGUUAUUUGUAGGUACUGUAUGAAUAAGGACCGGCUAAUUCCGUGCCAGCAGCCGCCGUAA